rnacentral:rRNA from 1 species
GACAGAGGGUGCAAACGUUGUUCGGAAUUACUGGGCGUAAAGCGCGUGUAGGCGGUUAUGCAAGUCGGGUGUGAAAGCCCGGAGCUCAACUCCGGAAGUGCAUUCGAUACUGCGUAGCUAGAGUACUGGAGAGGAUGGUGGAACUCUCGGUGUAGAGGUGAAAUUCGUAGAUAUCGAGAAGAACACCGGUGGCGAAGGCGGCCAUCUGGACAGAUACUGACGCUGAGGCGCGACAGCGUGGGGAGCAAACAGG